CUACGUGCCAGCAGCCGCGGUAAUACGGAGGGUGCGAGCGUUAAUCGGAAUAACUGGGCGUAAAGGGCACGCAGGCGGUGACUUAAGUGAGGUGUGAAAGCCCCGGGCUUAACCUGGGAAUUGCAUUUCAUGCUGGGUCGCUAGAGUACUUUAGGGAGGGGUAGAAUUCCACGUGUAGCGGUGAAAUGCGUAGAGAUGUGGAGGAAUACCGAAGGCGAAGGCAGCCCCUUGGGAAUGUACUGACGCUCAUGUGCGAAAGCGUGGGGAGCAAACAGGAUUAGAUACCCUGGUAGUCCACGCUGUAAACGAUGUCGAUUUGGGGGUUGAACUUUAAGUUUGGCGCCCGUAGCUAACGUGAUAAAUCGACCGCCUGGGGAGUACGGCCGCAAGGUUAAAACUCAAAUGAAUUGACGGGGGCCCGCACAAGCGGUGGAGCAUGUGGUUUAAUUCGAUGCAACGCGAAGAACCUUACCUACUCUUGACAUCCAGAGAACAUUC
rnacentral:rRNA from 1 species